AUUGAACGCUGGCGGCAGGCUUAACACAUGCAAGUCGAGCGGGGUGAUGGUGCUUGCACUAUCACUUAGCGGCGGACGGGUGAGUAAUGCUUAGGAAUCUGCCUAUUAGUGGGGGACAACAUCUCGAAAGGGAUGCUAAUACCGCAUACGUUCUACGGGAGAAAGCAGGGGAUCUUCGGACCUUGCGCUAAUAGAUGAGCCUAAGUCGGAUUAGCUAGUUGGUGGGGUAAAGGCCUACCAAGGCGACGAUCUGUAGCGGGUCUGAGAGGAUGGUCCGCCAAACUGGGACUGAGACACGGCCCAGACUCCUACGGGAGGCAGCAGUGGGGAAUAUUGGACAAUGGGGGGAACCCUGAUCCAGCCAUGCCGCGUGUGUGAAGAAGGCCUUAUGGUUGUAAAGCACUUUAAGCGAGGAGGAGGCUACUCUAGUUAAUACCUAGGGAUAGUGGACGUUACUCGCAGAAUAAGCACCGGCUAACUCUGUGCCAGCCGCCGCCGUAA
rnacentral:rRNA from 1 species